rfam:Mycobacterium celatum strain DSM 44243 contig_29, whole genome shotgun sequence.
AAGAGCCGUAUGAACCGAGAGGCUCACGUACGGAUCUGUGGGAGCCGGAGGGUGAAAUCCCCUCCGGCUACCCGAC